UUUUUUUCAAAAAUAUUCAUUAUAAUCUCAUAAAUUCGUAUAUAAUUUUAAUAUGUAAAGUGUUUUUUUUAUUAAAGUAAAAAAAAACCAUCUACUAAUCGUAGUCCGAGUUUGUUCAAUAUAUUUCUUCAUAUAAAUAAUGGUAGGCCGAGUUUGUUAUAGUCCGAGUUUGUUAUAGUCCGAUUUUGUUAUAGUCCGAUUUUGUUUUAGUCCGAGUUAUCCAGCAGCGC
rnacentral:lncRNA from 1 species